rnacentral:misc_RNA from 1 species
AAUUCUCAAUUCUUUAAUGCUUUAUUGUGUUAAAGGUAUUGGAUGUGGAGGUUAUUGCUGGCUUUCUUCUAAGUUGGCUCCUCUUAAAUGUAUUAGUGGCUUCUUUGAAGGAUCCCCAUAUAAUGGUGUGAUAGUAUAUCUACAUCAUAUAAUGGCUAGGUCAUGUAACAAAAUAAAGGAGUUGCUUUCUAACUGUCUUCGGACAACUUGAACC